rnacentral:rRNA from 1 species
AUUGAACGCUGGCGGCAGGCCUAACACAUGCAAGUCGAGCGGAUGAAGGGAGCUUGCUCCUGGAUUCAGCGGCGGACGGGUGAGUAAUGCCUAGGAAUCUGCCUGGUAGUGGGGGAUAACGUCCGGAAACGGGCGCUAAUACCGCAUACGCCCUGAGGGAGAAAGUGGGGGAUCUUCGGACCUCACGCUAUCAGAUGAGCCUAGGUCGGAUUAGCUAGUUGGUGGGGUAAAGGCCUACCAAGGCGACGAUCCGUAACUGGUCUGAGAGGAUGAUCAGUCACACUGGAACUGAGACACGGUCCAGACUCCUAAGGGAGGCAGCAGUGGGGAAUAUUGGACAAUGGGCGAAAGCCUGAUCCAGCCAUGCCGCGUGUGUGAAGAAGGUCUUCGGAUUGUAAAGCACGUUAAGUUGGGAGGAAGGGCAGUAAGUUAAUACCUUGCUGUUUUGACGUUACCAACAGAAUAAGCACCGGCUAACUUCGUG